GAUCGGACCAAGCGCCGAAGGACGCCGCGAGGAAGCCCUGCUCCGAUGGGUUGGCCAUGCCGCGAGUCUCCCGGAGUGGCCGGCGCACCUUCCUGCCUCACCCUCCGUGACCGCAAUUACUGCCGGAGAAGUCUGCCCAGCAGAUUGCCCGCAUCCUACCAUUUCUGUGCUUCUCCAACGCCCCCGCAUCUCCACAAGGUUCAUCAGUUCCCUCUCGUCUCCACAGUCCACACUCCAGGAAAUCCCAUUCGAUAACACAAUUGUUCAUUUGCCUUCUCCAAAUUGUAAAUAGGUUGGUGUCCUACUGUCCUGCACUAUAAACAAUUAGUGGAUCAUUCUUCCAUCACACUCUUUCAUGUCAGAUCAACGAAGAGAGGUUUUCAUUCCACAAAACCUUAUUUAAUUGCAUAUUACAUUGUCUUGCAGCAGUUUUUUUUUUCUCUUAAAAUAAUUGGCAUCUUUCCAUCAUAAACACAUCAAGUGAGCAUAACUUUUUAGGAGACCAUACCCGUAAAGGUGUAGAUUUCUGCAGAGAUAAAUAUGUUUGUGUUGUACAGAUAUAAGACACAGUUUAACACAUCCCUUUACUAUUAGUUCUGAAAAGAAGAACAUAAUUACUUGGGAACUCAUAGACGAUAAGUCAAGAGUUCAGUAUCAAGAUGAUAUGAUGUUUGUACAUCCUUAGGCCUUAUCCUUCAAUAACUGUUAUCUUUGACAAAAAAAAUUGGUGAAGAGUUUUUCUGUUAUUUUGACCUAUUUCUGCAUAAUCUUUCUACUUAGGAACAGAAGCAGAAUCUCAAGUUAACACGAUCUUAAUUUAUGCCUUCCAGCAAGUACUCACAAAGUUUCUGGAAGAAGCCCGGGUAUGCAAGGGAUUGCACCCUAUCAUUGGAAAAUUUGAUGGUUUACAUCUUGUUUCCUGACAGGAAACAAGUCGCUUGGACUGAUUUUCUUCUCAUAAUAUUGAAGGGAACACAAAUGUUUUUAAGAGAACUGUCCUGGGCCUGGUUGGUGCUUUAUUCAACAUUAUUUUACACCUUCAAAGUCCACUCAUUUUCUGUACCUUUAGUUGGUGCUGACUGAGAAUAGCAUUUUCAGUCGGAUCACUACAGACUCAAAUAGCUCAGAUCCAUGUGAUGAAGUUCAGUUAAGUCGUUGUCCUGCUUGCUUAUUUAGACCGACAGGUGGAUUCCUUGUCUACAUUUAGGUCUCUGUAUAGGAGCAUUUAUUCCAUAUGCACCUGAAGUUGUGGCAUUGUGCAGCUCUGUUGAAAGUUUGGUCACUGGAAUAGUACUCAUGAAGUUGGGUUUUUCGAGUAUGCAGUUAAGUUGACUGGUGAUCUUAGUGUUCCUGCUGGACAGAUAACUUGUCGUGCUCAGGUUGGGAAGGGCAGCUGUCUUGAGAAUCGUGGUGCAUAUCCGGAAGAGUUUGGUGUGGCAAACACAAUGAGAAUUGUGAACUCCCCUCUCCUCCCUUGGUCAUGGCGUCCUCCCCUACACUCUUUCCGGCGUCGGCACCGCAGGUGGAACAAGGGACUCUUCGCCAUCCUCAGUUCCCGUUAGUCCCUAGUGUCUCAGAAUGGCGGCCAGACCCUAGCAAGAGAAAGUAGGAGCGGCGCCACCACCGACCUCAACCACCGAUGACUCGAGGUGCUCUGUACUGCUGUUGGGUGACAUCAAGUUGCCCAGUAGUUUGAGAAUGACAUAAGGUGUUUUCAGCAAUCCCUGGGUCUGUUGGCUGCUUUUUAACUCCCGUGCUUGGCGCCGGCGAUUUGAAAUCUCAUCUUUAUUUUUUGCAUACCUCUCUCUAUUUCUCUGCCUUUUGACUUCCUUAGGAUCUGCAGCUGUGUAAUUGCUCUGGGUUUUUAGUUUUUUACAUUGCUCACAAUGCUGUUGCAUAGAUGACAUAUUUAGGUUCAUGUUACUUACCUUGUACUUUCCUGUUAGUUAUGUCCUGAAAUGGAUGGUGGCUAGAAGAUGACAUUAUGAUCUGUGCUUCCUCCGUCCAUCAAAAUUAACUAUCAAUUACUUGAACAAUUAAGGCUCUGGUUUAAAUUAUAUUCAGAAAAUAUUGACCAUGGAAAACCAAGAAUUAGCACUAAUACUAAAAUACAUGAUAUAUAAGAAAAUAGAUGGCAUCGUUGGCAGAAAAAUUGAUUUGCUAUUAACUCUAUUCAGUUUUUACAAUUGAAGUACAUUUUUAUUCUUGAUUGGAGCAGCUUAUGCAAACCUUUCUCCCUCAUGUGAUUUUUCAGCCAGGUUAGCUAAAAGCUCUUGUAACUUACGUUUGUACUGUUUGGUCUCAGGUUGCCUUCUUUAGGUAGAUAUUCACAUCAGUCACCAAGGUGGACUACCUCACCUUGCAAAUGAGCUUCGUCAAUACUUGUAAAUUCAAAAGAGAAGCUGCAAUCCCUGCAGCGUUGGUUCCACCCUGGGCGCCUGUCGUCGAUUUGUGGACGGGUGGCCGGAGACGACGCCGGACGGCGCAGCAGUGGCGAUGGUCGGCAGGAGGCGGCCGGCGGUGCAGAUCAGGCGCCCGGCGGUGCAGUGGCGGUGGUCGUUCUGGACAGA